CGGCACUUUCUGCAGCUUGAGGGCAGUCGUAACAUCUUUAUUGUUGCCUGGAGCGAUUUGUUCGACCUUUUCAACCUCGAUGCUUUGGAUCUUUCUCUCAUUCGGUGCUUUGCAUUGCACAUGCAACAAGAGACAAGGCGUCGAACCGGAAAGAAGUGUGGGUACAUUGACCCACAGAUGAUGACGGUGACAUUUAUGAAUUCAGAUAGAGAUAGCUUGGUCAGGUACAUGGUGAAGUGCAUGGGAGUACAUGCUGACAAAGAGCACAUUGUGGUGCCGUACAACCUAGGCGACCAUUGGGUUACACUCAUCAUCAAUGUCAGGAGCAAGCAAGUCUUCUACCUUGACUCGAGCAUUCCAUCAGAUGAGUCGGGCGCGCCUCAGAUACGUGAUUAUUCUCUAGUCAUCUCAAUCCUUGACG